rnacentral:rRNA from 1 species
AUUGAACGCUGGCGGCAGGCCUAACACAUGCAAGUCGAGCGGAUGAAGGGAGCUUGCUCCUGGAUUCAGCGGCGGACGGGUGAGUAAUGCCUAGGAAUCUGCCUGGUAGUGGGGGAUAACGUCCGGAAACGGGCGCUAAUACCGCAUACGUCCUGAGGGAGAAAGUGGGGGAUCUUCGGACCUCACGCUAUCAGAUGAGCCUAGGUCGGAUUAGCUAGUUGGUGGGGUAAAGGCCUACCAAGGCGACGAUCCGUAACUGGUCUGAGAGGAUGAUCAGUCACAGUGGAAAUGAGACGCGGUCCAGGCUCCUACGGGGGGCAGCAGGGGGGAAUAUUGAAAAAUGGGCGAAAGCCUUAAACAGCCAUGGCGGGGGGGUGAAGAAGGUCUUCGGAUUGUAAAUAAUUUUAAGUUGGGAAGAAGGGCAGUAAGUGAAUACCUUGCUGUUUGGACGUUACCAACAGAAUAAGCACCGGCUAACUUCGU